UGUUGUGUAGUUCCACUCCAUAGUAAGAAGUGAGGACGGAGAGAAUCGUAACAUAAUAUUCAGUGUGGUCUAAGUUUAGUAUAAUGAAGUCUGUUUUCUGUCCUCAGAAACAGACCUGUGAAACCCUGCCUGCAGAUGAAGAACAAUGGUUCCCAGUCCUGUUCCUGGGGUCUCAAAGGGAUGCCUUGCAACUUGAAAUUUCUUCAAAACGAUUGUCACUGUGUAGGGCACUGCACAGUUGGGUGACCAGGGCCAUCUGGGACUGUUGUCGUGGAAAUUUCCUCUAUUUACCAAA